GACGAACGCUGGCGGCGUGCCUAACACAUGCAAGUCGAACGGAACUGCAAUGAACAAGACUUCGGUCAAGUGAGUUGUACGUUUAGUGGCGGACGGGGUGAGUAACGCGUGAGCAAUCUGCCUUUCAGAGGGGGGAUAACAUUCUGAAAAGAAUGCUAAUACCGCAUAAAGUGCACAGUUGGCAUCGACAGUGCACCAAAGGAGUAAUCCGCUGAAAGAUGAGCUCGCGUCCGAUUAGAUAGUUGGCGGGGUAACGGCCCACAAGUCGACGAUCAGUAGGGGUUCUGAGAGGAAGGUCCCCCACAUUGGAACUGAGACACGGUCCAAACUCCUACGGGAGGCAGCAGUGAGGAUAUUGGUCAAUGGGCGAGAGCCUGAACCAGCCAAGUAGCGUGCAGGAUGACGGCCCUAUGGGUUGUAAACUGUCUUUUAUAAGGGUAAUAAAGUGGGGCUCGUGAGCU
rnacentral:rRNA from 1 species